rnacentral:rRNA from 1 species
AUUGAACGCUGGCGGCAUGCCUUACACAUGCAAGUCGAACGGUAACAGGUCUUCGGAUGCUGACGAGUGGCGAACAGGUGAGUAAUACAUCGGAACGUGCCUAGUAGUGGGGGAUAACUACUCGAAAGAGUGGCUAAUACCGCAUGAGAUCUACGGAUGAAAGCAGGGGAUCGCAAGACCUUGUGCUACUAGAGCGGCCGAUGGCAGAUUAGGUAGUUGGUGGGAUAAAGGCUUACCAGGCCGACGAUCUGUAGCUGGUCUGAGAGGACGAUCAGCCACACUGGGACUGAGACACGGCCCAGACUCCUACGGGAGGCAGCAGUGGGGAAUUUUGGACAAUGGGCGAAAGCCUGAUCCAGCAAUGCCGCGUGCAGGAUGAAGGCCUUCGGGUUGUAAACUGCUUUUGUACGGAACGAAAAGCCCCGGGUUAAUACCCUGGGGUCAUGACGGUACCGUAAGAAUAAGCACCGGCUAACUACGUGCCAGCCGCCGCGGUAA